UACGGAGGGGGCUAGCGUUGUUCGGAAUUACUGGGCGUAAAGCGCACGUAGGCGGCUUUGCAAGUUAGAGGUGAAAGCCCGGGGCUCAACUCCGGAAUUGCCUUUAAAACUGCAUCGCUAGAAUUGUGGAGAGGUAAGUGGAAUUCCGAGUGUAGAGGUGAAAUUCGUAGAUAUUCGGAAGAACACCAGUGGCGAAGGCGACUUACUGGACACAUAUUGACGCUGAGGUGCGAAAGCGUGGGGAGCAAAAGGG
rnacentral:rRNA from 1 species